UCUGGUUGAUCCUGCCAGUAGUCAUAUGCUUGUCUCAAAGAUUAAGCCAUGCAUGUCUAAGUAUAAGCAAUUUAUACAGUGAAACUGCGAAUGGCUCAUUAAAUCAGUUAUCGUUUAUUUGAUAGUUCCUUUACUACAUGGUAUAACUGUGGUAAUUCUAGAGCUAAUACAUGCUUAAAAUCUCGACCCUUUGGAAGAGAUGUAUUUAUUAGAUAAAAAAUCAAUGUCUUCGGACUCUUUGAUGAUUCAUAAUAACUUUUCGAAUCGCAUGGCCUUGUGCUGGCGAUGGUUCAUUCAAAUUUCUGCCCUAUCAACUUUCGAUGGUAGGAUAGUGGCCUACCAUGGUUUCAACGGGUAACGGGGAAUAAGGGUUCGAUUCCGGAGAGGGAGCCUGAGAAACGGCUACCACAUCCAAGGAAGGCAGCAGGCGCGCAAAUUACCCAAUCCUAAUUCAGGGAGGUAGUGACAAUAAAUAACGAUACAGGGCCCAUUCGGGUCUUGUAAUUGGAAUGAGUACAAUGUAAAUACCUUAACGAGGAACAAUUGGAGGGCAAGUCUGGUGCCAGCAGCCGCGGUAAUUCCAGCUCCAAUAGCGUAUAUUAAAGUUGUUGCAGUUAAAAAGCUCGUAGUUGAACUUUGGGCCCGGUUGGCCGGUCCGAUUUUUUCGUGUACUGGAUUUCCAACGGGGCCUUUCCUUCUGGCUAACCUUGAGUCCUUGUGGCUCUUGGCGAACCAGGACUUUUACUUUGAAAAAAUUAGAGUGUUCAAAGCAGGCGUAUUGCUCGAAUAUAUUAGCAUGGAAUAAUAGAAUAGGACGUUUGGUUCUAUUUUGUUGGUUUCUAGGACCAUCGUAAUGAUUAAUAGGGACGGUCGGCGGUCAUGUGGAUAUAUUUGGCCUUGGCGACCAGCUUGUAAUCGGGUUU
rnacentral:rRNA from 1 species